GCGGCAGUAGUCCAACCUGGUUAAGACACUAGCCUUCCAAGCUAGGUAUCGGGGUUCAAAUCCCCGCUGCCGCA
rnacentral:tRNA from 1 species